rnacentral:rRNA from 1 species
AUUGAACGCUGGCGGCAUGCCUUACACAUGCAAGUCGAACGGCAGCACGGGAGCAAUCCUGGUGGCGAGUGGCGAACGGGUGAGUAAUAUAUCGGAACGUGCCCAAUCGUGGGGAAUAACGCAGCGAAAGCUGUGCUAAUACCGCAUACGAUCUACGGAUGAAAGCGGGGGAUCGCAAGACCUCGCGCGAGUGGAGCGGCCGAUAUCAGAUUAGCUAGUUGGUGAGGUAAAGGCUCACCAAGGCGACGAUCUGUAGCUGGUCUGAGAGGACGACCAGCCACACUGGAACUGAGACGCGGUCCAGACUCCUACGGGAGGCAGCAGUGGGGAAUUUUGGACAAUGGGCGCAAGCCUGAUCCAGCAAUGCCGCGUGCAGGAUGAAGGCCUUCGGGUUGUAAACUGCUUUUGUACGGAGCGAAACGGCUCUCUUUAAUACAGGGGGCUAAUGACGGUACCGUAAGAAUAAGCACCGGCUAACUACGUGCCAGCCGCCGCCGUAAUAC